ACAUGCAAGUCGAGCGGUAGCACAGAGAGCUUGCUCUCGGGUGACGAGCGGCGGACGGGUGAGUAAUGUCUGGGAAACUGCCUGAUGGAGGGGGAUAACUACUGGAAACGGUAGCUAAUACCGCAUAAUGUCGCAAGACCAAAGUGGGGGACCUUCGGGCCUCAUGCCAUCAGAUGUGCCCAGAUGGGAUUAGCUAGUAGGUGGGGUAACGGCUCACCUAGGCGACGAUCCCUAGCUGGUCUGAGAGGAUGACCAGCCACACUGGAACUGAGACACGGUCCAGACUCCUACGGGAGGCAGCAGUGGGGAAUAUUGCACAAUGGGCGCAAGCCUGAUGCAGCCAUGCCGCGUGUGUGAAGAAGGCCUUCGGGUUGUAAAGCACUUUCAGCGGGGAGGAAGGCGGUGAGGUUAAUAACCUCAUCGAUUGACGUUACCCGCAGAAGAAGCACCGGCUAACUCCGUGCCAGCAGCCGCGGUAAUACGGAGGGUGCAAGCGUUAAUCGGAAUUACUGGGCGUAAAGCGCACGCAGGCGGUCUGUCAAGUCGGAUGUGAAAUCCCCGGGCUCAACCUGGGAACUGCAUUCGAAACUGGCAGGCUAGAGUCUUGUAGAGGGGGGUAGAAUUCCAGGUGUAGCGGUGAAAUGCGUAGAGAUCUGGAGGAAUACCGGUGGCGAAGGCGGCCCCCUGGACAAAGACUGACGCUCAGGUGCGAAAGCGUGGGGAGCAAACAGGAUUAGAUACCCUGGUAGUCCACGCCGUAAACGAUGUCGAUUUGGAGGUUGUGCCCUUGAGGCGUGGCUUCCGGAGCUAACGCGUUAAAUCGACCGCCUGGGGAGUACGGCCGCAAGGUUAAAACUCAAAUGAAUUGACGGGGGCCCGCACAAGCGGUGGAGCAUGUGGUUUAAUUCGAUGCAACGCGAAGAACCUUACCUGGUCUUGACAUCCACAGAACUUUCCAGAGAUGGAUUGGUGCCUUCGGGAACUGUGAGACAGGUGCUGCAUGGCUGUCGUCAGCUCGUG
rnacentral:rRNA from 1 species